rnacentral:rRNA from 1 species
AUUGAACGCUGGCGGCAGGCUUAACACAUGCAAGUCGAGCGAGCGGCGGACGGGUGAGUAAUGUCUGGGAAACUGCCUGAUGGAGGGGGAUCACUACUGUAAACGGUAGCUAAUACCGCAUACCAUCAGAUCUGCCCAUAUGGGAUUCGCUAGUAGGUGGGGUGAUGGCUCACCUAGGCGACGAUCCCUAGCUGGUCUGAGAGGAUGACCAGCCACACGUGAACUGAGACACGGUCCAGACGCCUACGGGAGGCAGCAGUGGGGAAUAUUGCACAAUGGGCGGAAGCCUGAUGCAGCCAUGGCGCGUGUAUGAAGAAGGCCUUCGGGGUGUAAAGUACUUUCAGCGAUGAGGCGUUACUCGCAGAAGAAGCACCGGCUAACUCCGUGCCAGCAGCCGCGGUAAUUC